rnacentral:lncRNA from 1 species
UGGCUUUGCACAACAUAGUUGUCCACCUUGCUGCACAGGGACAAUGUACCAUGGGAUGAAGACUUCAGCACAGCUCAGUGGGUCACCUGAAACCAGAAUUGAACUCCUCAGGUUGAAGGGCGUGACUGAAUGAUUGAGAAACCACCGUACCACAGACGACUGUCUUUGCUUUGUCGGCUGCUUGGCACCUGACCAAGGAAUUCUGAUUUCCUUCGAGUGUUUUCUUAAAUCUGUGGCAAUCUAAUAGACACUAAAGACAAACAGGUUUUCUGUGUAAAGAAACACUUACACAGAGGGAAAACCUAAUACCAUUGUGCUGCUAACAGAACAAAGCAAUAAAAUGACUUCUAAUGACAGGCUGCUGCACCCAGAGGUCAGGGCUUCCUUCCCUCAGCCAUCACCAGAGAUGCUUCGUCGUCCUGCAGUAGAUGGGAAAUGACACAGAGACCCACAACUGGACAAUGGACAGAGAAUCUGAGACCACUUCACGCAAAUGUACUGAUCACCAGGUACGGCAACAGCGUCCAGUGGGUCUUGUCAAUUGCUCUCAUCAAGCCUGUAUUGUCCGUCUGGUUACUGAGAGCUAUGGCAUUUAGCAUAAUUGAUAAUCUCACC